ACCGUCUUUAUCUUGGGGUGAGAGCUUGCUCAAGGAUCGUAUGGAGAGAGCAAGACUGCUGACACCAUAGCUAAAGCUAAAUAUCGCAUCAUUCUUCAUAGGAUGGUGCAAUUUUUGACACC